rnacentral:rRNA from 1 species
CCAGAAAGACGAUCUGGUCGAUCGGCCCGGCAUGUACGCACCGCGAGGUGUUUAGUGGACGGGUACGAAUCAGUCGAGGUCUUGACCUC